rnacentral:rRNA from 1 species
GUAGGGAAUAUUGGGCAAUGGAUGCAAGUCUGACCCAGCCAUGCCGCGUGCAGGAAGAAGGUCCUCUGGAUUGUAAACUGCUUUUUUGGGGGAAGAAGAGACACCUUGCGAGGUGUUGUGACGGUACCCUAAGAAUAAGCCACGGCUAACUACGUGCCAGCAGCCGCGGUAAUACGUAGGUGGCAAGCGUUGUCCGGAUUUAUUGGGUUUAAAGGGUGCGUAGGUGGUUUAAUAAGUCAGUGGUGAAAGCUGGUUGCUCAACAAUCAAGUUGCCAUUGAUACUGUUAGACUUGAGAGAAGUGGAGGCUGGUGGAAUGGAUGGUGUAGCGGUGAAAUGCAUAGAUAUCAUCCAGAACGUCAAUUGCGAAGGCAGCUGGCUGUACUUUUUCUGACACUGAGGCACGAAAGUGUGGGGAUCAAACAGGAUUAGAUACCCGGGUAGUCC